GACGAACGCUGGCGGCGCGCCUAACACAUGCAAGUCGAACGAAGCACUUCGGUGCUUAGUGGCGGACGGGUGAGUAACACGUGAAGAACCUGCCUUACAGAGGGGGGACAACAGUUGGAAACGGUGACUAAUACCGCAUGUCAUCACCGGAGGGCAUCCUCUGGUGAAAAAAGGAGCAAUUCGGUAUAGGAUGGGCCCGCAUCUGAUUAGCUAGUUGGUGAGAUAACAGCCCACCAAGGCGACGAUCAGUAGCCGACCCGAGAGGGUGAUCGGCCACAUUGGGACUGAGAUACGGCCCAGACUCCUACGGGAGGCAGCAGUGGGGAAUAUUGGGCAAUGGGGGAAACCCUGACCCAGCAACGCCGCGUGAGGGAAGAAGGCUUUCGGGUUGUAAACCUCUUUUAGCAGGGACGAAGAACGUGACGGUACCUGCAGAAAAAGCAACGGCUAACUACGUG
rnacentral:rRNA from 1 species